UACGGAGGGAGCUAGCGUUGUUCGGAAUUACUGGGCGUAAAGCGCACGUAGGCGGCUUUGUAAGUUAGAGGUGAAAGCCCGGAGCUCAACUCCGGAAUUGCCUUUAAGACUGCAUCGCUCGAAUCCAGGAGAGGUGAGUGGAAUUCCGAGUGUAGAGGUGAAAUUCGUAGAUAUUCGGAAGAACACCAGUGGCGAAGGCGGCUCACUGGACCGGCAUUGACGCUGAGGUGCGAAAGCGUGGGGAGCAAACAGG
rnacentral:rRNA from 1 species